UACGUAGGUGGCAAGCGUUGUCCGGAUUUACUGGGCGUAAAGAGCGCGCAGGCGGUCGUUCAAGUCGCGUGUGAAAGCCCCCGGCUCAACUGGGGAGGGUCACGCGAUACUGAUCGACUCGAAGGCAGGAGAGGGUAGUGGAAUUCCCGGUGUAGUGGUGAAAUGCGCAGAUAUCAGGAGGAACACCGAUUGCGAAGGCAGCUCGCUGGAACGUUACUGACGCUGAGACGCGAAAGCGUGGGGAGCAAACAGG
rnacentral:rRNA from 1 species